rnacentral:lncRNA from 1 species
UGGGCGAAUUGCUUCCGGGGUGCAAUUGGAGAACAAAGACCACAAAAAUUGGGUAGAAAUGGAGAGAAAAAUUUUGAAUUUAGUGGGAAAGGGGUUUGAAAGGAAUUACGAUUUGAGAAAAUUAAAAAUGAAAUGAUAAGGCCUUAGGACAUAUCUAUUUAAGAAAUCCAUCCUAGACAUAGGGGUGGACUCCUGCUAAAUCAAGAGUCAGUUCC